GAUGAACGCUGGCGGCGUGCCUAAUACAUGCAAGUCGAGCGAAUGGAUUAAGAGCUUGCUCUUAUGAAGUUAGCGGCGGACGGGUGAGUAACACGUGGGUAACCUGCCCAUAAGACUGGGAUAACUCCGGGACACCGGGGCUAAUACCGGAUAACAUUUUGAACCGCAUGGUUCGAAAUUGAAAGGCGUCUUCGGCUGUCACUUAUGGAUGGACCCGCGUCGCAUUAGCUAGUUGGUGAGGUAACGGCUCACCAAGGCAACGAUGCGUAGCCGACCUGAGAGGGUGAUCGGCCACACUGGGACUGAGACACGGCCCAGACUCCUACGGGAGGCAGCAGUAGGGAAUCUUCCGCAAUGGACGAAAGUCUGACGGAGCAACGCCGCGUGAGUGAUGAAGGCUUUCGGGUCGUAAAACUCUGUUGUUAGGGAAGAACAAGUGCUAGUUGAAUAAGCUGGCACCUUGACGGUACCUAACCAGAAAGCCACGGCUAACUACGUGCCAGCCGCCGCGGUAA
rnacentral:rRNA from 1 species